GGGGAAUAUUGCGCAAUGGGGGAAACCCUGACGCAGCAACGCCGCGUGAAGGAUGAAGGUUUUCGGAUCGUAAACUUCUUUGAUGAGGGACGAAGAAUGACGGUACCUCAAAAACAAGCCACGGCUAACUACGUGCCAGCAGCCGCGGUAAUACGUAGGUGGCGAGCGUUGUCCGGAAUUACUGGGUGUAAAGGGCGUGUAGGCGGGGAUACAAGUCAGAUGUGAAAUACCGUGGCUUAACCACGGGGCUGCAUCUGAAACUGUAUUUCUUGAGUGUCGGAGAGGAAAGUGGAAUUCCCAGAGUAGCGGUGAAAUGCGUAGAUAUUGGGAGGAACACCAGUGGCGAAGGCGACUUUCUGGACGAUAACUGACGCUGAGGCGCGAAAGCGUGGGGAGCAAACA
rnacentral:rRNA from 1 species